UGGGGAAUCUUGCACAAUGGGGGCAACCCUGAUGCAGCGACGCCGCGUGAGCGAUGAAGCCCUUCGGGGCGUAAAGCUCUUUCGACCGGAACGAUAAUGACGGUACCGGGAGAAGAAGCUGCGGCUAACUACGUGCCAGCAGCCGCGGUAAUACGUAGGCAGCAAGCGUUGUUCGGAGUUACUGGGCGUAAAGAGUGCGUAGGCGGUUUUCUAAGUUCGGUGUGAAAUCUCCCGGCUUAGCUGGGAGGGUGCGCCGAAGACUGGGAAGCUGGAGUGUGGGAAAGGCAGGCGGAAUUCCUGGUGUAGCGGUGAAAUGCGUAGAUAUCAGGAGGAACACCGGCGGUGUAGACGGCUUGCUAGACCAUAACUGACGCUGAGGCACGAAAGCGUGGGUAGCAAACA
rnacentral:rRNA from 1 species